rnacentral:guide_RNA from 1 species
AUAACUACACAAAAUAUAGGUAAAAGUUAGAUGAUGUGAAAUGAUGGUA